AGAGUUUGAUCAUGGCUCAGGAUGAACGCUAGCGGCAGGCUUAAUACAUGCAAGUCGAACGGUAACAGGUUUAAAUUUCGGUUUGAACGCUGACGAGUGGCGCACGGGUGAGUAACGCGUACACAAUCUGCCUUAAGCGGGGAAUACCCUAUGGAAACGUAGAUUAAUACCCCAUAGCAUCACGAGAACGCAUGUUUUUGUGAUUAAAGCUCCGGUGCUUGAAGAUGAGUGUGCGUCCUAUUAGCUAGAUGGUAAGGUAACGGCUUACCAUGGCAACGAUAGGUAGGGGGCGUGAGAGCGUGAUCCCCCACACGGGUACUGAGACACGGACCCGACUCCUACGGGAGGCAGCAGUAAGGAAUAUUGGACAAUGGGCGAAAGCCUGAUCCAGCCAUGCCGCGUGCAGGAAGAAUGCCCUAUGGGUUGUAAACUGCUUUUAUAUGGGAAGAAUUGCUUCGACGUGUCGGAGUUUGACGGUACCAUAUGAAUAAGCACCGGCUAACUCCGUGCCAGCAGCCGCGGUAAUACGGAGGGUGCAAGCGUUAUCCGGAAUUACUGGGUUUAAAGGGUGCGUAGGCGGCAACGUAAGUCAGAAGUGAAAGCUCUCGGCUCAACUGAGGAAUUGCUUUUGAUACUGCGUAGCUUGAAUAAGGUUGAGGUCAGCGGAAUGUGGCAUGUAGCGGUGAAAUGCAUAGAUAUGCCAUAGAACACCAAUUGCGAAGGC
rnacentral:rRNA from 1 species